GACGUAGGUGGCGAACGUUAUCCGGAAUUAUUGGGGGUAAAGGGUGCGUAGAUGGAUUGAUAAGUUAGCAGUGGGAAAUCGAGGCUCAACCUCGUGGAAGCCGGUAAUACUGUCAGGCUCGAGUGCAGGAGAGGUUAACGGAACUCCAUGUGGAGCGGUAAAAUGUGUAGAUAUAUGGAAGAACACCAAUAACUGCGAAGGCAGUUAACUAUUCUGUUACUGACAUUGAGGCACGAAAGCGUGGGGAGCAAAACGG
rnacentral:rRNA from 1 species